GUGCUCGCUUCGGCAGCACAUAUACUAAAAUUGGAACGAUACAGAGAAGAUUAGCAUGGCCCCUGUGCAUCACUCAUUAUCAGAGAAAUGCAAAUCAAAACC